AGAUUUCUGCAGAAGAGGAGGACGAAGGUCGCCCACGGACCCUCGGGUGACCUCGGUGCGGCCUGGUGGCCGGGCACACCCGCGCAUGGACGAGGUCCCUCCCAGGGGUCUCCCUGCAGGGGUCUCCGGGGAGGUAGUGGGCACGUGGGUCCUUAACCUCUCCAUUGCAUCAUCCCCAUCCCGGUGGGUACAGAAGCGCAGCAACCCCGCGGUGCUCCCGGAAGACACCGCGUCUCCAACAUUUACACGGAGAUGCUGCUCGGCUCAGGUCGGGUCCGUACGCUUCCCGAGGUGCGUACUACGCGAGCCACACACAUCACUACCGAUAUUCCUGAGAAAGUCGGUGCCACAGUUCCGACCUGAAUCUGAAAGUGCUUCUAAACCCCAUGCUUCACAGAACGUUCGGAGGGGGAGGCGCUCCGUGGGGGCUGCUGCGUGCCCAUGUAGCCGAACUGACUCGAAUAAAAGCGUGUCCACGUCUACAUCACACAUCUGUGUAAAUGCAGAAGCCUGCGGAUGCGCGGGGCUGGCCAGACUUCACAGUGUGCAGACACAUGGGCUCAUGCACGCGCACGCGCGCGCUCACACACACACCCCAAAUUACCUCCGGGAUGGAGAAAGCCGCUGCGGAUUGGCCAGCAGAGCCGUCACUCACGCCCAGGGGGCAGGGAGACUUCGCAAAGCUGUUUCCUUUUUUUUUUUUCCUCCUCUCCUCCCUACCGUUUCAUUUAAUGGUAAAACAACAGCAGAGCUCUGAAAGUUAGCCAUCUGCGCAGAGUUUGCCUUCUUUAAGGAGGGAGGCGUCAGACGAUAUCCAUUUAAAUAUAUUUUGUACUUCCACAAAGGAUGGAAAGGGAAAUUCACGAAGGGAGUGGAGGCGG
rnacentral:lncRNA from 1 species